rnacentral:lncRNA from 1 species
AUGGAGGAGGAAGAGGUUGAGGUUGCCUCGCCUGUACAAAUUGCCCAGUUAAUGUUACUUGAUUAUUAAUAAUUUCUACUCAGAGAUCUAUCUUUCUUAGGGGGCUCAUUUCAAAUUUUUCAGGUGCUUUGGAUAAUGAGAUGUGAGAGCUUAACAGAAACGAGACAUGGGGAAGGAGCCUUUACUGCUCCUAGCAAACAGGAUUAAAUAACGCGUGUGGAUGCUGGGAUGAGAAUGACCAGGGAGGACUUGAUCAACAGCCUUGGUGCUGUACCAGGCUUGCGAUGAAGCCUUCAUGGAGGCUUUGCAGGCUGCUGCAGAUAUCUUUGUGGUUGGCCAGUUUGGUGUUGGUUUUUUACUGGGUAUGAGUAAGCAGUUAAUCCCUGAGUAUAUGGUUGUCAUUACAGGGGAGGCACAGUCCAAGGGUCUCCCUCCAAAGAGUUCCUGUGAUAAGUUGUAACAGCAAUAUUUUAAAUGUUAUCAAAAUGAAUUUGGUUAAAAAUUGCCUAGAACUAUUCACUGAACUGGCAGAAGAUAGACAAGUUUUAUGAGCAGUUCUUGAAAAAUAUACCUUGGAAAUCAUUGAAGACUCUGCACUGCAAGAACUUUCCAGGGCUGUUCUAGUAUUCAUCUGCUCUGGGGAUGAGAUGGUUGUCUAGGACUGCUGUACCAGAAUAAAGGAAAGCCAGAAAGGCAUCUACUCCAUCACCAAGUACUUUGUGGUUACCUUGGCUUUUGGGGAACAUCUCCAAGCACAUGGUUAGAAAUGAUAAAAACAAUAAAGCCCAUUGAUGAGUACUGUGUCCAACAGCUGAAGGGAUUUGAGUAGAGGAUUUUAGUGUCAGUCACCGAAGAGGGAGAGCAUGAAAUGUCUAGAAGAUAAAGAAGAGAAAAAAUAGGAAGAGAAAAAGAUAAACUUUCUGCAAAAGUAUACAAAGAACCCCUGGAGAUAAAUUUGGAAAAGGUAGAGGUCAUCCCAAACUUACUGGAAACCUCUCCAGGCUGUCUGUCACAAAUACACAUGAAUGGACAGGGAACAGAGUCAGGCCUUAAGAGAUGUCAACAGCGAGUUACAUGGCAGUAAAGACACACCUGUGGAUCUGACAGCCACAGCAGUGAAGGAUCUGCUCAUCUUGCUGCAGGAAACUGAACUUGUGCCUUCAGUCUGGAAGAUCGUCACACACGUGCCAACAGCAUUUCCAGGUCAUCAGACUUGGUCUGAGUAUUGUGGAAGA